rnacentral:lncRNA from 1 species
CCCACUUUCCGGCCACAAGGAUCAAGGCCCAAAGGGAGGCAGCAGCACUGCCAAGAACCAGGCAGCAAGGAGCUCACGCUCAGGCUUAAUGCAAACACCUGGCCAGGACGGAAGUUUGAUCCUGCAAGAGCCAAGCAAUGCAGCAGCUUCAUCUCAUUGGGCAGAAGAUAAGCACUGCACAUGCAGAUCUUCCAGAUGUCCCAGGACUUGUCCCAGGAAUCUUCAUACGCCCUCUGAAAGCCAGUUGUAAUGGAAAGGCUGCUUCAUGUGAUGCAUCGAACACGUUUCAUUUUGUGGCCCUCAAAUUGAGCAAAAAGGGCUGUCAGAGCAAGGCUGCAGGAUUCAGGCUCUGACCUUCACACCCUGCUUUCUCCUGUUCUCGCUGGUACUGUGUGCUGAGGGGAGGCUCCUGCAGCACCUGCCCUGGGAUAAGGCAUCACGGUUUGUUCCUGUCCCUGCCUUCAAGGUCUGUGCCAUUCCACACGGCUGUUUCUCUAGGAGAAAGCGUGUGUUCAGCAGUGUGAACCGUCUCCACAGAGCUGCAGCCUGGCUGAGUAACACAAUCCUUCACCUCUCCCCUUGGAGAACAGAAGGGACAGAAAUGUACUGACUACAACUAGGGGCAUCCCAUCCUGGUUUUGCUGCUGUCACGAGCCCCUCUUGUUCUGUCGGAAGGGUUUUGUGUGCAGAGAGAUGUAGCAGAUAGGCUGUGUUUGCCUGGGCCAUGAAGAGUAACAACCCUUUACAAGCAAAGAUGCGCUCUUUAGCCUGCCAGGCAGUGUGCUUGGGAGCUCCACUGCUUCCUCAGGAUGUCCACAAAACGUCAUCCAACAAGAUGGCACCUACCAGCUGCUCUCACCUGGGUGGGCAAUGUGAGCCACUGUGUGCUCUGCCGGCCCUGUGCACAGUGAGGGGCGCUGGUGGUGUGAAUGGGAGAAACCAUAAAGGCAGUUAGAGUGGGAAGGGAGAGGAAUUGCACCAUCCGUUAUCCAACUUGAGCAAAGUGACGUGAAGAAGGAUAUUAUUUUAGAAAGUUUAUCUCUUUAGUAUCUAUGGUGACAAGAUGCUUAUCGGAGUAAGACAGACUCACAGGCUGUCUGCUCCUUGUUAUCUCAGUGUAGGAUGACAGUAUAAGUAUCACGUCUAGAAAUGUUAUCUAUCCUUUAUUAUUUCACUUGUGAGGGUCUAACAGGAGUGUUAUCAGGGUGUUUACAAUCAAAACACGUGCGGCUCAAGUGAUAAAAAGGAGAACAGACAUCUGAUCUCCAAGGAUAUGAAGACAAUACAGCCUUGAGCAGGAGGAGAUGGAUCUUAUUGGAAAUGGUUUGUCGGGCUGGGAAUGGACAAGCAAGCCCGCGUGAUUGCUCACAUCAUAAGCUUGAGAGAUGGGAUGGGGGAGAAGCACGCGUACGAGCGCACGCGGUCUCACAGAAAAUGAAAAGGCGAUUGUAUCAACAGCACUCUCAGCUGAAAGAGAAAUAUUUUCCAAUAAUUUCGUUACGAUUUGAUGUAUUCUGUGCUCUCCUCUCCCUUAGAGCGGUAAUGUGGCGAGCUGGCAGGACCAACAAGUGCCGUAGAGUUGCUUGGAGUGAGUCAGAAGCUGAGAAAGCUUACCCAGGCUCGGAGGGUGGAGAGCAGACAGCUGGUAAGAUUGCUUAUCAGGGGCUUCCUUUAGAUUAGCACAACGCUGGCCCAAGCUUCUGCAAGGUAAGGAAUCAAUUUCGGGGUUAGUGGUGACUAUAAACCUUAUCCUAGAUCUCCUUAGGGCCAGGGAGGCUAAAUUCCUCACGGACGGAGGUGUACAAAGAUCUCCCAGACAUCAGAUCUCAUUCGUUUACAGCGUGAGCAAGCCAGGUGCUCAGUGGUGUCAAAUGCUGAUUUUCUUACUUGGCAUGAAUGAUCCUCAGCUGUUAAAGAUAGGGCUGGAUUGUGCAAUGCUCUGUUCAAACCCAGGUCUUACUCCUGGAGGUGGCUGUGUUCUUGGAUAGAUAGACUUCAUUGGAUGUUUUCUUCUUCUGUUGCAGUUAGACUCCAUUCUCCUAAGGUACAACAGUUCCCUUAAGCCAAGCAGAGUGCUUUUAUCCCACAAGAUAACAUGGAGUGAGGAGUGUGUCUUCUGGGGGUCAUAGAUGGGGGGCCAGGCAUGGUGAGGUGCAAUGGGUGGGCACAUUGUGGCCUCCUGGUGACAAACCCACCUCUGAGCAUCUCUUCCUGACUGUAUAGCUGGCUUCCAACUGGAGGUAGGCAGCUUCUUUGGGUAGGGGGUAGGGAAGGAACACAAGCAUCUCCCCCUCAGCACAGUUCUGCAUUAGCCUGCCUGCUCAGCUCCAUAUUCAUCUUGAGCUGGGUAUCACACAAAGAGAACUGCUUUCAACCUGUCUCAAUGACUCUCCCAUCACUCUCUAAUGGCUGUCAACUGCAGGUAACCCUUCUUCACCUGUGGAAACUGGCAGCAACACCUCGGGCUCGUUUAUGAGAAAUUAUCUCUGGUUGUGAUACACGGUGCAUUUUUUUUUUUUCAUUUGAACCCCUAGCUUGGCAGGGCCAGUGGGGCUGUUUUGUAUGGUAAUAUAUGACCCAUCACUCCUCUCCUGCCCUUCGUCUCUCACACCUUUAAUUGCACUUGUGUUUCUGAAGCAUAUGGAAUUCAUUAUUCAGCAAGCAAGGUCCUUUGCAAUAUCAGCCUUAAUUAACUGUUCCCCUCUGCAUUUUCUUGCUCUUAUCCUCUCCAAAUCUACACACCAAGACAGGCUGAUGGCCCCCCACAUGCAUCAGUGCCAGCCAGUGAGCCGUGACCAGAUAAGAAGAAAUGGAAUUCCUUAUCUUUUUUUUUUUUUCCUUCUUCUUUCUUAAAAUACAUGUACACACAAACCUGGAAAAGGUCAAGGUUACUGGGAAGGGAGAAGGCACUUCAAGACAACAAAACCCCCUUCUCUUUCAAGUCUCCAUAGCAACUCGAAGGAGCAUCAUGGGAUGUCAGGAUGAGAGAGGCCUAUUCUUUUCAUGCAACACUCUUUCCACUUCAUUAGACUCUUUAUCAAGUAUCUCUGCUCUGGGCUGAGUAUAUUUUUUUGUGUCAGGGAGCAGUGCAGAUGACUCAAAAGCACGCUGACCUUUUCAGUGGGACCCGGGAGUUCCUUGUGGGAGCUGCAUCCUCUUCCCUUGCCUUCCUCCCCCACAGCCCCUUGCCUCCAGUUCGCAUGACCUCGGUCUGCCUGGCCUUCUCAUCAAAACCCCGUGGCUGGGGAGGGAUGAAGGGCUUCUUUUAAAGGAGAAAGGGGGAAAAAAAAUAAAGAGAGCAGAGUAUGAGAAUGUCCUUCGCUGGCACUGGAGGUGUCAAGACCCAGCUGUCAGAGCCGUGCAUCUAUGGGGAAGAUUAAUGACUCUGCUCAGAGAAAAUCCAAAUAAAAUAGGACAGAAUAAAUGCCAAGUGACUGGGCGGAGGAUGAGGGGAAGAGUGAGGAAGGAGCGAGGCAGUGUGACGGGGCGGAGGUAUUCCUCAGUCUCGGAAGUGCUUUAAUUCCCCGUGGAGGAACAAGUUAGCAUAGGAACGCUCUUUAGGUUUCACCCCAUGGUCUUGAAGAGCCGUGUCUGUCUGUGUGCAUCGGGGUGUGAGCACGCUUAUAAAGCACUGGUUGUACCGAGGCACCGAGGCUGUAUGUUUUUAUCUUUACUUCCUUGGAAAAAUACCCACCGUAGAGAAGCCUUUUGUUUUAAGCUUCUCACCACGUUAGCCCGUUUCAUCCUCUAGAUAUCUUGAAUUGCUUUGCAAAUCAAUGUGCUGCUUGUUCUUGGGAAGCUUCAAUGCCUGUUUUAUGCUGGGCAGUAGCACACAGCACAGCUUGGAGGGAAUAAAGGGGCUGCAACUGUGCUGUGGUUGUGGGAUUGCACUUGAGCUGCAGGCCCUUAGACCUAACCUUCACGAGAUACCAAGGCGCUGUAACUGCCUUUAGUUUUUAAGAUGAUCCUUUGGAUUUUUACUUCUUCCAGGGAGCUGUUCCGUGACAGUUUGCAGCUUAAUUUGAACAGACUUCAUGCUCUGAGAGCCCAGCUGAGCUCCUCACCAUAACAGCACACGGUGUGAAACUCCGUAUGUUGGAAGCCGCGUGCAUUGGAUGAGGAGAGGGACUCGUUAGCGUGGAUGACUGACAAGGCCAAAGUCAUUUAACCAAGUGUUUGUAAAGAGCCUUGAACCUGGACAUGCUCAGACUGUGUGCUCCAAGCUAGAUGAUUUACAUGGGUGAUUUUAGGAGGAAAAACUGUAGAAGAAAAAGCUUUGCACGUACAGUAGGAAUCAGGGUUAUGAAUAUCCCAGUCCAACUGCUUCGAUCCUCGGAGGAGUAAUUCUGAAGUGGGAAAUCCCAUUAACUCAUAAUAGGGCUCUUAAGUAGUUCCCUAUGAUGAAUUUGUGGCACUCUGCAAGUCUCAUAAUUCCCAAUAUACAGAUGAGGAAACUGAGGUUAAGUGACUUACCCAAGGUCACGUAGGAAAUCAAUAACCACUGCAGCCCGCGCCGGCAGCACCUCUCACUGACUGUGAGUGACUCUGAAUCAGGGAAUGAUUUGUGUUGAAAGGGGCCUCAAAGAUCACCCAGUUCCAGCCCCUGCAGUGGGUUGGUGGCCACCCACGACAUCAGGCUGCCCAGGGCUGAAUCCAACCUGGCCUUGGACAGCUCCAGGAAUGGGGCACCCACACUUCUCUGGGCAAACCGAAUGGUGAUAAUCAUCCCCAGUGCUGGCAGAGGAAACUUGGUGUCUGAACCCUGUAUCAUGUCACAGCUCUAAAGAAUGUCCCAGGGUCUCGGGGGAGGCUUGGCCAUGCAGAGCUGAGUGGCUGGGACUCUCCCACCCCGAUCAGAGCAACGCUGCUUUGCUGUUUCCUGGCAGAUGGGUGUCCUCUUGUUCUCAGGAUCCUCAAAUAUGGAUGCUCUGUGGUCUCCUGCUGUCCCAGUUUAUCCCAGUGCCCUCUGCCAUCUGUCACAGCACUGUUGCUUUCCCGUGGCACGGCAGGCAGGAGCCCGAAUCCCACACUCUCCAUCUGUGUCAGGUGCUCUGGCUGUGCUCAGCAGUGUGUUUCUUGUGAUCUGAAGCUUAUGUCUGAAAAAGCAGGCAGAGCAUGUCUGUGGCAGGUGUGCAGUGUUGGGGGUGGGAUCCUCUCUCAUAUGAUGGCAGGAAAUUGCCUCGUGCAGGACCUCUCUGCUGUGGUGAGUGUGAGAGCCUCUGCCAGUACCUGUGCUCCUUCUUUCCUCCUGCUGAUUGAGCUCACCGCUCGUGUUCCAGCUCCUCUGCUCGCUGCUUUCAUCUCAGGUUUGCAGGGGAAUACACUGCUGGCAUAGGGGUGUUCCAGCACUGGGGACUGGUGUGAUCAAUGCAUGCUUCCUUACCACGUGUGGUGGGUCCUGCAGGAAGGGGCUGUGCUUCCCAGGGUCCAACGUGGGACUCCUCACAGUAACACUGACCAUCACCUACGUGCUCUUCCUAUCACUUGUUGCUCUUUCCAGAACUAGCAGCUGGUGUGACCCAGCGAUGAGAGGUGCGAGACGGGGUGCAGACACCCAGCAUCACUCAGGUCUUCUGCAGGAGUUUUUCCUCUGUCCAGCUUCUCAGUUCUUUUUUUAUAGUUUCCCUUCAGCUGAUUCAUAGCUAUUUGAAUUGCUGAUUUCACUCGUACUGUUACUGUGGCCUAGUGCUAAUGAUCUGUCUCUAUUUCCUUCCCAGGUAGUAAAGCACAGCAAUACUCUGGAGCCUGCUGUCUGAAUGAGCAUGUGCUGGGAUUAACCUGCUGCCCAACAGCUUGCUAUAUUUUCAUAGUGCUUCCCAUAGCUGCCAGUCUGACAGGCCUCUGAAAGCUGAGGGAAGUGGUUAGUGAUAAGGUGUGGGCACUGAGAACAGCUACACUUUAAGGCCUCACAAGGACAGCAUGCAUUUCUUGUAUGGCUCCAUUUUCCGAUCAGCAUCUCUACACAUAUUUGUCGCUUGCCAGACCCUCAGUCCUCUUUGACUUAACCUGCUGAGAAGGGAGGAUGCUCAGGAGCAUGCAGGCGGAGCAGGAAGCUCAGGGCUAUCUGCCAUAACCCAACCCAGAGACCACUCUGCUCCGCAGCUGGUGCUCCAGCCACCUGCACUGCCAGCACUGAGCUCCAGCUCCAUAACCCAGUGCCUGCGGGCAGUUUUCUGACCUUGUGUAGGGCGAAGAUCUCAACACUCCGUGCAUAUGUGGGGUGAAUGCUGUGGCAGAGGUGUGGCCAUGUAGACAACCCCCUGUUUUGCAACGCACGGCAGAGCACUGGUGUCUCAGGGACAGUUGUAGCGCAGGGGAUAUUUUGUACUGCAAACUGCAGCUUUAAAAAAAGCACUCAAUGUUGGUUCAAGGUUUCAUUCCUGAAGCCUUAAGGACUGAAUAUAUUCACUGUGUCCUUCUUUAUUUGCAGGUUUAAGGCACGACAGACUUGUUCCGCUGAUUAUUCUGACUGCAGGUAUUAGCUGUUCCUUUGAAUGAGGAAUGAGUUAGGCCCCCACUCUCUACUGCUGCGUGGUUUGAUUUCACCUUCAUUCGUAUUAUGGCAGUUCUGAGAGAGCUUCUUGUUUUAUAGAGCAGCUGUGUUGUCUUAAUGCAGCUGUAAUGUGUGUUUGUCCAGGCAUUGCCUUUAGGGGACAGCAGGACUAGGAAGAUGUUUUAUUAGAUCAUUCACAAGUCCUAAUAAUCUCUGAGUCUCUGUAAUAUCUCUGGAUGUCAGCUGUGCUGCUUUCUCUGUGUGGUAUGGGGUUGUAACCUGAAGAUGGGAAAUUGCUUGUGUAUGAUCCCAUAUCGGUUUCAUCUCAGUUUUAGCUCUCCCCUCCUGGCUGUCAAAGAGGAGUUGGUCCUUGUAUGCAAGAUCUUAAACCACGUGUUGGGAGCUCAUGCAUGGAGCAGAGCAGCGGUAUCAGAGGGGAUCCGAGUUGCUUGGAGCCCUGCUUGUGUGAUUCACCGGUGGCACUGAAGACCUUCCCCUGCAGGCUGGAUCCUGGACAGCGCUCCCAUCCCUGCACCUCCAACCUCAGUGCCCGGGUGGUGGAGCCAGGAGGUUCUGGAACAAGGCAGCAAAACUUGCUCGGUGUAGACAAAGCCAUGUGACAGUCCCACCUAACAGCAACCAUGCUACUGGGAACGCAGACAAAGGUGUCACUGUGAUUAAUGGGGCACUCAUCUGAGCACCGCGUCCAGGAGCACAGGUUGCACCUUGCCCUGGUGGCCCGGCUUUUGCAGGCUUUGUCUGCUGUGAGUCCUGCUCAGAAAUGGCUGGAAGGAAUUCAAGGACAGAGGCAAAAAGCAUGGGGCUUAGCCUCAGACUCCCUCAGGAAGGGAAGGACGUGCAUCCUGCCUGUCCUGUGUUCCUCUCCAUGGACUCUUUCCAAGGUGUUGGUCUCCAGAAUGCUCCUGGCUCUGCUCUUCUUGGAAGCAAUGGUGAGACAUCUGUCAGUGUGAGCCCAUAGAGGGAAGCUGAGGUAGGUCACUUUGUAGUCAAUUCAGCUAACUUUUUCUCAAGUCUGAAUUAUCUCAAGGAAAAAUAUAGUUUUGGGUUUUCUGGAUGUGGUCCCAGCCCUAUUUCUGCAAAUGUGGCAUCUCUCAGUUAGGAGAGGGCAGUGCGAGAGUGGGGUGAGGCAGCAGGUCCCUUGCAAGCUGGUAUGCCACCAGAUCAUGCAGAUGGGUCAGGUUUUGUGCCGUGUUCAGGUUAAUGCUUUGCAAACACUAGGUCCAGACAAGAAGCAGUAGCUCCAAUAAUGUUUAAACGAGCUUAAAAUCUGGAGAUGAGAUCUGUAGGCCUUGUGCAAGGAGCAGGACAGUGGAGCACCCAGAAGUGGAUUUAAGACAUGUAGCUGCUUUGUUCUGGGCUUUGUUGAAACAGACUGCCCCGGGAGGUAGUGGAGUCACUGUCCCUGGAGGAGUUCAAGAACAGUGGAGAUGCGACGCUGAGGGACGUGAGCAGUGGGCAUGGUGGGAUGGGCUGGGGUUGGAUUUGGGGAUCUUAGAGGUCUUUUCCAACUUUAAUGAUUCUGUGAUUCUAUGAUUAGAAGAAGGUGGAGCAGUCACAGGGCUCCCAUGGUUCAGAAUUUGUCCAAGAUCUCUCAGUGUCCCCAUGCUGAAGGGCAGUGCUUGUGCUGGGAUGGUUGGAGCUAACCUGAGAUCCUCCCCAGGUGCUGUGGUGUGGUGCAGGCUGCAUUGGCAGAGGAGGUGCAAUGGGCAAGCAACAAAGUGCAGGAUGGGCCCUGAAAUGCCCUGGGACAUUGGUUUGCCAAACUUCUGUGUCAGUGGUACUGUCAACAAUGUCCUGCCAAGAAGCAUCAGCAGGCAUGCAGCUGAGAUUUCCCUUCCCCCCCCCCUCCUUUUCUUUCAUUCUAUUACUCCUGUUAAAUUCUCUUCACUGCACUCACUCUAAUGGUGCCUCAUUUGGUUUAUGUCCUUCAAACUCUUCCCUUUAAACACGUAGUCAUCACUUAGCUAAACUACUGUAUACAAAUAUAGCUCUUUUGAUCUUCCUACGUAAAUCAAUACCUCCUGCCCUUUAAUCUUCCUAGUGGCUUUCUCUGAACUCCCUGCAAUUUACUAUCCAUCUUUGAAAGUGAGUUGUCUUUUGGGCUUGAUUCUCUACAAUUUCAAACCUCCUGAAGUCCCAAUAGCUGCCCACAGCAGGUGCACACGGUGGUUCUCCACCACUCUGUUCAUGCUGAAGUAAUGCAAACACUUGCAUACAAGGCAUUUCAUGUCCCCUUAGGCUGGUGUGGCUCCCCAUGCCAGAAGUGAGUGGUCAUGCAGCACAAGCCCAUAUUUUCAAAGUAGUUCUCACAGGAUGCUAAAAGCCAUGGCGCAAGCCAUUGGGUGCCAUUUGGGGUUGAAGGAGAGUUGUAAUGGUUGAGUUAUGGAGAGGACUUUCUGCAGUUAUUGGUGGCUGUAGAGAUGAAUCUCAUCUUCUCCAUAGCAGUAGAGCCUGUAGAUGCAAGCAAGCAAGCCCAAGAUAAAGAUUUGUCCCCUGAGAGUGGGCAAUGUAUGUGUCCCUUCCUUCACAGGACAGCUCACCUUACCUGGCUGCAGGUGGGACCUUUUGAUGGGGCUAGACCAUGGGCUCAGCAGGAAACCAGAUCUGGAAGCCCAUCCAGGGUGCAUGUCAUCUCUGUGCAGGGAAGGGUUGCCUUGUCAGCUGCUUUGCAGUGCCAGGAGCUCUGAGAAAUAACCUUGUGCCUUGCUUUGAUGCAAGUGUCAGACACAAGUCCAGCACACUCUCUAACCCAUGUGUCCAGUCUGCUGGUUGUAUUAUGUUUAGUAAAUAAGGUUGUCACUGGAGUGGUCUCGAGGGCAAGAAUUAAGGAAUCUCUUAGGGAUUGAAGAGACAAUUGUACAGUUCUCCCCGUCCUUGCCUUGACAGUUACCUCCAGUUUUCCCCUGGGACCAUUCCACUCUUGAACUGGGAAUGCUGUGAUUCAUAGAAUCACAGAAUCACCAAGGUUGGAAAAGACCUCCGAAAUCAUCCAGUCCAACCACUCACCUACCCCCAGUAUUUCCCCACUAAACCAUGUCCCUCAGUACAACGUCUAGACGUUUCUUGAACACCUCCAGGGAUGGGUCUCAACCACCACCCUGGGCUGCCCAUUUAAAACCAUUGCAGUAAAUGUCUUUUAUUCCCCCUCAUCUUUCAAAGGGAGGGGUUUAUAAUAGCAAUAACCCCUUCUUUUAGCAAUAACCCCUUCUUUUAGCAUUUCAUUAUGGGUCAAAUAAAAGCAUAUCAGAGCACGAGACAGAGAAUCUCACCACUCUGCUUGCCCCCAAAGGAUAAACAUAGUAGUGCUGCUACGGGCCCUAUAGCUUAAUUAGUUGCUAUUCUCUGCAGUUCCAAAAAAGGAUGAAAAAAAUCCUUUGCAAAGCCUAGGCAGGCUGUCUGUGUCAUAUUUCCUGUGUUCUUAGAGGUGUUAAUGAAUUCAUUAAUCACUUAAUGGCAAGGAGGGUCUUUGGGGACCAGCACUGCAAUUUACUGCUCCCAGGAGGCAGACUCUGUCACUGAUCUAAAGUUUCAGCUCCGCUAAUUUGUGCCAGCAGAGCCGCUGAGCUUCUGCCUGCAGCCCGCAAGCAUUGUGGCUACUGGGAGCAUCACAGCAGCACGCAAAGCAUCAGGGUAUGCUCACUUGGGAAGGUUUUGCAACGCGCAACGUUCUGGCUCUGAAAAGUUCAGAGCCCACAUGGAGGCAAGGAGGUGUUCCCCCAGCCUUGCAGUUGUGUUGCCUUGAUUCUUUUCAUUGGGAUAAGCUUGCUGCUAAGCCAGUCCUUGCAAUCAACUGGGGAAUGCAGCAGGAGCCUUGCUGACUUACAGGAAAUGCAAGCUAUGGAAGCGUGGCUGUAUAAUCUGGUCUGGGACUGCAGGCUAUGCAAUGAAAGGAGUCUGUGAAUCUCUUCUAAUUGAAGAGCGUCAGGCUGAUGUAUUUUGACUGAAACUGUCAGUUAAAAUGUGAAUUUGAAUGUUUGCAUUUCUGCUCUGCAGAAAAUGUUGAUUAUUUCAGUCUCUCGCCCUUGUUGCAGGAGAGUCACUUGUGCCAAAGUUCCCUACAAAAUGUCUCUUUUGGCUUCUUUCUCAUCACACGGCAGUUCAAGGAGAGGGGGACGUGAGCAGAGCCCUCCUCUCCGCUAAUUCCAUUCCACCAGCCUGUCAUCACGUUGCAAUUGCCGCUUCUAAAAGGUUUUUCUGCCUUGCUUUUCUGUGGCUGAGCUCCCCUUUCUAACUUCUGUCCGUCUUUCUCCUCGGUCUGUUGCUUUCCCAGGCUGGGAGUCAAAGAGGGCAAAGUACGUCAGAUGUGAGCAGGAGGGAGGGCAGAGUCCAUGGGUCAUGGCUGUCUGUGUGUGUGCACGUGCUCGCCUUCCACCGCUGGUAGCCUCCUUGGAGUCAUUCCCACACUCAUGUUCUUUGCUCAACAGUUACUGUAGGGAGGAGAGAGCUGGAAGGCAGGACAGAAGCUACAUGUUGAAUCAAAGGAGAGAAGGCGGGAAUACAAAACCACUUCAUCGUGGAAAACACAAAGGGAGACAAUUUCAGUAAAUGCCAGAUGGUCAAAAUUAACCAGAGACGUGUAGAGCCCUACAUGUCCAACUGUUUGCUUUGGCAGAGAUUCUUCAGCUUUUCGAACAAGAGUCUCUGGGGCGCCCUUUUCUUCUCCUUGGCUUUCCUCCUCUCCUUUGCUCAUCCUUUGGACUCCUCACCCCACCCUUCUCCUCUGGCUGUUUUUCCUGCCUCUCCUCUCUCACUGCUGCCCAUGAGUCAUGUUGCACCUCAAAUGCCAGCUUGUGUUACGGCGAGGGGAGACCACUGCAAAGAAAUGUCCUCAUGCAACAACAGACUUGGAGGGCAUGCAAGGUGGUGGCUGCAGCUGUCAAGGACCACUGCCAGCACAGCCCUGUGGAAAUGCUGGAGCACUUCAACCCAGUGCUUGUUGUUGCUGUGGGUAUUAAUUUCUUCCUCCCCUCCCAAGGGCCUUGACUCAGCUUUGAUUUUUUUUUGUUUCAGCCAGGAAUCCAGAAGGAGUUCUUGCGGUUCAGUAAGCAGAGGAGCAUGCAUAAGUUGCUUACCAUGAUGGAGCAGUGGGAUGUAGUCUUAGUGGGGCAGGGGGAUGCAACCUUGUUGGGGCAGUGGGACAUGUCCUUGUUGGGGCAGUGGGACAUGGCCUUGCUGGGGCAGUGGGACAUGGCCUUGCAGGGGCAGUGGGAUGUAGUCUUGCUGGGCAGUGGGCCAUGGCUGUGUUGGUGCAGAAGGAUGCUGUCUUGUUGGGGCAGAGGGACACGGCGUUCUUGAAUCCAAGCCAACUGCAUGGCAUGUUCCUCCAAACAAUGCAAUCAAGAGGGCCCUUGUAUGGCACAGACGGAGAGCUCCAGCUAACGACGGGCUCUUUUGUGUGCGCGUGUGCUCUCUGCAUUUGAAACAUUUAUUAUUCCAAAUUGCCUUCUGCACAUUUUACAAUAAUUACGACUAGUGUUUGCCUUGUUAUCUCCACAGUUACUAACAAGAAUGCCAUCAUUAUUCCAGUCAUUAGCAAAAUGGAUGUUGUUGUCCAGAGUUGCCGGCUGUGGGCCUGCUUUCAGAAGGAGUCUCAUGCUCUCCAACCUUGCCUACUCCAUCUUUCUUCCAGGGGAAUAUUGUUCUCAGUAGGUUUGAACCUGAGCGGGCGGAGGGGAAGCAGAGAUUUCAUGAAGAAGAAUUGCUUUGAGGGAGUGCUGGUGGGUGUCAGGAUUCGCAGCAGUGAGCACUGGGAAUCUGUUAAUGGCAACAUUAGUAGGAACGAGAGUAAAGGCAGCCAUUUGCCCGUGUUCCUUGUGUAUUUGGUGUAUCUUAGGUCUGCUCCUGCUGCUAGGAUCCAGUAACUCUUCCUGUAAGAAUGUGUUGCUUGGAUGUGAAGAGAUGCUAUCGAUCUUACAAUGGAGGUUGCAGAUGAAGGAGAAAAGGUUGGAAUUAAGCCGACAGCACUCAGCUGCUGUAAGCCGGACAUUGCAGAAUGGUGGCUUGCAUGAAGCCAGAGGCCAAGCUCUAUGGUCUGGAGCCUCACAGGGAGUCCUCCAAGUGAAGGAUGAGCCCUGAGCUGCAGGAGAGAUCUACUCCCACUAAACCAACCUCCCGAGGGGACUUACUUCGUUUGACUGGCUCCGUCAUCCUCAGGAGGAAACUUUCCUCUGCAAGAUGGUGAAAUAGUGCCCAUGUGGAAACGUUCUGACUGCAUGCGCCUGGAGUCCGGCAUUGUUGCAGAGGAGGAGGGCGGCAUAGGAUGGCUCCAAAGAAAAGAGGUCUGCAUCAGAAGGAAAACCUCCUGCCAUGCCAGCUUGCCCAGACCUAACGGUGAGACGGCCUUUCCCAGCUACAUUAAGGGCUGCUUCUUGUGGACUGGAAGUAUUGCCAAAGAGUGAGUGAUCCUUAUUAAUAUGCAUCUCCAAAAACAACAGGCAGUCUUGCACAGAUCCUCUCACACGUAUCUUUGGAUUUUGAGACAGUGGAGAGCUAUUUAUUCCCUCUCACACCAAUGUCAGCCAUAGCGCAAGAUGUCUUGAGCUGAUUAAAAAUCUCUUUAAUCAAAUGCUGGCAGGGGAAGUGUUCAGAAUGUUAGAAGGAUGACUUUGACAAGCUGCCCCUGCACUGUGAGUGACUUCAUCCAGAGGUUGGCCCGGCAGACUGGCGUGUGAUACAAAGCCUCCACUCACCUUGAUUUCCAAAGCUGCCAACAAACUGCAGUGACGAUGCUGAGAAGCCAGUAGGGCACUGUAGCCUGUGCUCAGUUCUUCUCCGUUAGAUACUGACCCCCCCAAAAAAAACCUUUGCUACAGGCAAAAUCCAUCACUCGAUUCAUCAACCCCUACCUACGCUUCAAAUUCCUAUAUCCCAAAUCCAUGGGAACGAUUUUGAACAUGAAUGUAGGCUGGAAAUCAUUGCUGUGCAGAUUGUCUGGAGGCUUUUUUUUCCCCCCUGUUCUAUGGCUGAACUGGACUUCAAAAGAAUAAAUAAAAUCCAUUCUGGUAGCACCCCCUCCUCCCCCCCCCAACCCCCCAGGAGGAGUGUACUUCUAUGGAGAAAGGGCAUAAAGAAACCUCCUGAUAUUUUAUUCAACCAGAAUUAAGUGUUUUGAUUUUGGGGAAUUCAGCUAAUUUUCUUACUCCUCAAAAUAGGUCAGCUUUGAAAUAGAAGAUGUCACGCUGUAACAAAAAAAGGGGAAUAGAUUUGUUUAGUGAAUGUAAGAUUAUACAUACAUACUUCUGGAAUUUUAACAAGCUUAUGAAUGGAAAGAAAGCAUCCAGGUUGUUUCUCAGUCAGUUAGACUUGGAUUUAGGACCGGUUUUCACUCUCCAUAAACUGCAUUUCUUUUUCACUUAGAAGAUCCCCUCCCACCACAAAAGCCCCUUCCCCUUUUGCCAUUGCUGGAAAUAAAUAGCCAUAAUAUAGCUGGAAUUAAUACAGCUACACUGAGUCAACUAAGUGCUGAAUUUUUCUUUCCCAAUGCUCUCCGGGCACCCAGACGUGCUCAAUAGGAAGUGUUGGCACUUGGGGCUACGUAUAGAAAACCAGGGUGUGUGCUGCUGGGGCUGUUAGGGAGGAAAUCUUGUGCCAGCAGCCCUCUGCUGUGGGCCUUCUCCAAGCUUUGUCUCUAUUCCCUCAUUCCUCUGCAGAUGUCCUAAGCCACAUUUUGCUUUCAUUAUGACAAAAAUUGUGCAAGAUACUCAUCUUCUUUUAUUUAUUUAUAUAUAUAUAUAUAUAUAUAUAUAUAUAUAUAUGUAUAUGUAUUUUGUAGCAUUUCUGUGUUCCUACACCUUCUCUCUUUGCGGCAUUGCUUGUGGACAUGUAAGUAGUAGGUUAGUUUCUAUUCUCACUCUGGGGGGUUGGGUUCCAAACUGUUUAUUGAGUAAUAAAAAGAGAAAAUGGCGAGUCAUUGCCCAGGGAUAAUGUGCUAAUAAUUUUAUGACUGGACAAAUGGUUGCAACAGCCCACAAAUGGCUGUAGGCAGGAAACCUGGUGUCUAUUGCUGACAGAGCCACCCCCAAGGAGAUAAAACCUCACUUUUGGUGAUCAAAGUUGAUGCAACAACUGUGAUCUAUUAAAAAUUACUUUGGAGAUGGGUAAGGCAAUCAUUAUUCCUCUUGGAGGAGAAGUGGCGGACAUAGACUUUUUGGGAAGUGUUUAGAAGAGAGCUCUACAUGGGAUGAAUGCAACAGACCACCGUGGCUGCUUGCGCUCGGAGCCACGCGGCGCGCAGCUGCAGGGCUGCAGGCUGGGGAUGCUUGGAGAAACAAAGAUUAAAGGGGGGUUAGUGCUAUCAGGCAAACACGAAUCAUCCCAGAGAUAACAAAGGGUUGAAGUUUAUUUAGCCACUAACCGUAUGGCACUCAAGUGCGUUAGCCUGGCUUGACUGCUGCAGAGCAUGGAGCCGGAAUGGCUGCUGCAGGGCGUACACCAGGAUACACCCUGUCCCACUCUGGGCUGAUGUCCCCUGUCUGAUUACUCAAGGAGGAUGUCCCCCUCCUGGGGAUGGGGCAGUUGUCCCAUCGGCACCAAUUUCUUCCCGCUGUUGUGGAGUUUGGUGGGGAAGGAUGAGCAGGGCCCUUGUGAGGUCUCUCUCUGCCCGUCUCCCAGCAGGCAGGAGGAGCUGUACCUCUUCCAAAGCCGCAGCAGAUCCAGCCCUCGAAGCGGGCAAGAAGCCAUGUGAUGGGGCGUAGCUGCUCGCAGCUGCCAAGACCUCACAUUUGUAUGUUAGUGAUGCAGAUAGGAUCUCAUAAACCCGUCUCCAUACUGCUUUACUGCUGAUUUAACGAUCAGAGGAAGAACUUGACUGUUUAUUAAAACAUUAGACAGUAAAGUUUAACAAUAGACAGUAAAGGGUUUUGUUUUUCCAUCCCUCUGAUUGUUAAAGCAACAACACAUAGGCCUGGAGAGGGGCCUGCUGCUAACCUCAGGAUGAUGGGAUGGGGCCAUGAAGCUCCUCCAGAAGGCAGGAUAGAGCAGCUGGCAUUCUGGCAAAUCCCAUAUCUGAAGAAGGAAAUCUGAUGUAGGGUAUGGGUGCGUGCCCCAUCACCGGAGGCGCUGAGGGCUGGGCUGGAUGGGGCCCUGGGCAGCCUGAGGUGGUGGGGGGCAGCCAGCCCAUGGCAGGGGUAGGACUGGGUGGGCUGUAAGGUCCCUUCCAACCCAACCAUUCUGUGAUUCUAUGAGUCUGACUGCGAGAAGGGGCAAUCCAAUUGCUCUGUGGGCAAGAGUCUCGUGGUAGGGCUCCUGUUGUUCAGCAGACCCACAAACACCGGCAAAGGGAGCAGAUGGAAACAAAACUCGCAAGGCAACAGCAUUAUUCAGGACAGUGCCAACAAAAGCUGACUGCGAAGAAACGCCGAAGGAUUGCAGCGUGCAGGUGAUGAAAUGGCAGAGGAAAUUCAUUGUUGGUAACUGCAGAUAGAGAAAAAUCAGCAGUGGCUGUACCCAUACAGCAGCACCAUCUCAAUGAGCUAUUGCCUCUCUGGAAGGAGGCUGUGGAGGCAAGGCAGGCUGUUUCUGGAAACGUCAGCAGUGAUCACAAAGGCAGUGGCCAUUCUAGGAGUUACGGAGGAAGAAAUGGAGAGUAAAACAGGCUGCCAUUGUGCUGCUGGGUGCAUCCACAGUGCAUCCCCAUCCGAGGUGCUGCCCCUGCUUCUGGUGGCCGUGUCUUGGGGCCAAGGGAAGAUGGAAGAGGAGUUACAGGGACUUCAUAGCAGGACCUCGAGAACUUGAGCUGAAGUGGACAGAUCUGGAGGAGAAGAUGAGAGGAAGAAAGCCCUGGGUGGCUUGGAGGAGUUGGACAUGGAGCUGGACAAGCAUCUGCUCUGUGUCUGUGCUGAUGCUAUUUAGAAACCCCAGCCUUGGCUCUGCUUGACAUUUGGUAAUGCUGAACUGGGACAGCACCCAAAAAACCCCAUCCGUGUUGGACCGUCAGUAAGAGGUGGCACAUCUGACCAAAACCACGUCGCCAUUUGCUUCCUUGACAGCACAUCCUACCUUAUCCCCUGUCCUUGUCCUGCUGACCCCCGUUCCCAGCCUCCCUUGCUCAAUUUCAGCAGCAUCUUGGGAGGCCCCUUCAGCUGCAAGCCCCUCGCUUGGGAAAGAAAGUGGGGUUGGAGGGGGGGGAUCAGAGCCCAGCUGUGGGCUGGGGCAGCAGGCGAGUGCUUUCCAAACGCUGACUGCUGUUGGUGUAUUUCUGCUGGUGAGGAUGCAGCUGGCAGCGUUUGUGUGCAUGCGUUUAUACACACACACACACACACACACAUACUCACCUCCACACGAGUACACGACUAAAAUACAUAUAUUUCCUCACCCCGCAUCUUUCUGCAAGCUGCAAAAAUACAAAAGAAUAAAAUUAAGUCUCUUAUCGCUGCUAAGUCAUCAGAAACUAAUAUUGCAUCUACCGGGCAGUUUUCCCCCUCCCCCCCCCCCGAACCAUCUCCACUUCGCAAUCCUAAUUCAAUGAUUCUUUCUGUAGCUCUUUACAUUCUAUUAUUUAUAAGAAACAAUAUUCAGCCCUCCCCUGACAGUGUUUGCAGGGCUGCGGGAAGCAGUGCGGCAGAAAGGUGGUAGAACAAUUUUGGUUAUGUUUCCAUAGCUACCUAGCUGCUAAAUGUGGUUUAUUCCAUUUUAAAGUCAACCAACACACACCCGCACGCACACGCACAAACCACCAGAUGAAGUGUAUUCAAACUAAUCCCUGGGCCGCCUAUUACAGCCUAAUAUCCCUGCCAUUUGUAUAUUUAAAGGGAUAGUUGCUGCAGAAAUAAAUGGCAGGGCAGCGCUCUCGCUGGCUAGAGCAGGAUGAUCAACAUAUUGUUUCUUUCUUGCUCUCCUCUCCGACGUGUGUGUUCCACUCCAUCCCUGUAAUAUUAUUAUGGAGAUUUUUACCGAGGGCUGAGAGCUGAGGAAGUCGGAGGUAGGAUGGUGUCCUCUCGUGGCAGUCAGCAUCUCUGCAGCCUGAUGGUAGCCGUGCCAAGAGAGAGCCGAGCCUGGGCUCUCCUGGGCAUGCACGGCUGUCUUAGGGACAAAACUCUUGGAGCAGAGCUUCCCACCUCCCCUAGUGCACCCAAAGACGAGGAGCCUCCUGCUUCUGCUCCACGCCAGGCUGGAGGCUGCUGCUUGCUCUUGCUUUCCCUGCGUGAAAGAAGAACCCUUGGGAAAGGAGUGGUGGGUACCAGCUUUGCAGAGCGGAGGAAGUUUGUCCCAUGGAAGUGAGCAUCUCUGAGCUGCCGUGGGUUGGUGGAGAACAUCUCAGAGCUUGUAAUCAGUGCCUCAUAAAUCACCGCUGACUGCCGGGAUCGCUUUGGCCGCUCUUCCCCAUCGUCCUGUCUGCAGGAAUGGGCUGCACGUUUCCACGUGGAUCGGGUCUGAAUUGGCUGUCUGAAUCCAGAGAUUAAAGAAACAGCAGCCUCUCUCUCUCCUGUAACUGACUGACUAAUUAAUGUGCACCUUGCUAGGCCCGAGAAUCCAUGAGCAUCCUCAGAAGUCUGAAGAGAAUGGGCAUCCUGUCUAUAUCCAAGGCAGGUAAUCACUGUAAAGGGUGGCUGGAAGGGCAAAAGCUGCAUUUCCCCACGCUGGGGGCUGCGGAGGAGGCAGAGGCAGAUACCUGGGGCUCCCUGGCAGCGCUUGCUGAAGAUCAGCCUUGAUCAGAACAGGUCUUCUCACAGGAAACAUCAACUUUUUGUCAAAAAAGCCUGAAGAUAAAUAUUCUUGGAUGAAAACCUAUAAAAAGCUCAGACUGACAAACUAUUUUUUUUAGGCACUUCUUUUUCUCCCAACAAGAAUAUAUCUGUCAAGAGAAACAGAUGUUCUCUAUGAAGAAUCUUCUUUAAUUACAAGUCUGUCAAAAAGAGAAAUCUUCAAGUGUCUCAAGCCUCAAAUCUGCGAAUGGCUUCAGCCCUGGGCAAGAAAUCACCCCUUUCCUGAGCAGCCCCAGUGCCCUUUCUCAGCUCUUGUCAUGUCAUCCCUGCAGCUGCACCAAUAAACUGGGCAUUUUUGGAGUUUAGUUUUCAGAUGAGCCCGCUUCAAAUCAAUGGAGCUGCUGCUUUUCGUGACUCCUGGGAAUAAGAUGGCGUGGAAACAACCCACGGCCAUGCCCAAAUAAGAAAACUAAAAGAAUUAUUGGUUUUGGUCAACCUGGAACAUGGCUCUUUUUGCCCUGACAUUUUCCUAGAGGAAAGUGAAACUCUUCAUCUACAGAUUCAAAAAGUCCCAAAGGCACUCUGUCAGACAUCUCCCAACGUGCUCUCUCAGUUAUUGCUGGAUGGAUCAGAAGUUCUCCAGGGAGCAGUGAAGAUGUUUUUGCGGGCUACAUAACCUCAAAGGCUGAAAAUACUCAAUUCCAGUGUCUGCUUCUUGCUUCCAGAGGAGAUAUCUGCUCUUUGUCUUCAUCUUCAUCGUCAUCAUCUUUGUCUUUGUCUUCAUCAUCUUUGUCUUCAUCUUUGUCUUUGCUUUGUCUUUGUCCUCCUUCUCCUUCUUUCUCUCUCUCCUCUUCCUCUUCCUUUUCCUCCUUCCUCCAGCUCCUAAAUCCCCACCUUCCCUCCUUUCCUUCUCCCCAUCAUGCAUUGCAUGCUGAAUGCAGGAGGCUCUCAAAGGCAAGAGUCGGCCUGGGACACUCUUACCCACAAUAGCAGUGGUGAACAGAACCCAGGUUUUCAGCCAGGAAAUUUCACUGGUAAUCUCCUGCGAGGGAGGCACUCCCAUUUUUCAUGAUGGUUGGCCCUUGCGGGAUAUGGAUGAAAAGAGAAAGCAUUUCAUUUGCUCUUUGAAAACUGGAGCUAUAGAUCAAGGCCCUGCUCAGUCCCCUGAAGACUAGAAAUGGGAUUUUUGCAAGAAUUGAGGCUAUCCUCUCUGAAAACUAAAACAGUUAUCUACACUUUCAUCGAGAGGUCAGCAGUAGAGAUUUUUCUCCAACAGCUGGAUAAAUCCAGGCUGUUAGUGCCUCUCCUUCCCACUGUUCUCUGUUAUUGCUUUUCAUUACGUGAAGGGUGAGGAACAAGCAAAUACCUCUGCUUUCUAGCUUUGCCCUUGCCCGUUUGUACAAAGCAGCCAAACAUUUCCUUCUGACACUCAGGACCCAAGCACCUUUGGUGUCUGAUAUUUCUCCUUGGAUGCCGUGGUCUGGAUGCAGUUGCUCAGGGCUGCUUAAUCCUACCAGAUGGCAUAGAAAUGUUAUUUUUUGGACACAGGCACUCCUCUUGCCGGGUAUGGGUGCCACGGGACCAGGGCAUCCUUUGUCACCUGGACCCAUUGUGAUCUCCUGUAACACUGGGCAGGAGGGUUUGCGGAAUCACGCUGCAUCCUGCGUCCCUGAGCCUUGCAGCCAUAAAUCCUUUGCCUCUGCCACAACUGUGAUUGAGCCUGCCUGGCUUAAUUUAUUUCUCCAGAGCCCACACAGUUAUGGUAGAGAUGAUUGCCUGCUCAAGGAGCAGCACUUGGGAUGAAAUCUUUUCCUCUUGAGAGUGCUGCUGGAAAAACAAGGCAGUGUCCGUGAGCUGCCAGCAAUCCCCAUGUAGGCAUUGUCUUUGCUUGGCCACUUCUUUGCGGUGCUCUCAUCCUUCCUGACCUCUCCCCUUCUCUCCCUUCCUUUAAGUCCUUUUCUCUCUGUUUCAUUUCUACCUAUGUCUCUUCCUCUUCAGGUUCCUCGCUAGGCACUGGAGCUGAUUGCAGUGGUGAUCCAGCAAAUCACAGUAGUGAUGCUGCUGAUGGAAUAACUCCUUGGGGUUCCACGCGGUUGCUGUGCGGGCACUGAGUUUCAAACUGCAGAAAAGGAGCAGGAAAGCCUGAUAUUUGGGUGCAUCAACUGGAGCUUUCAUCCCCACCCCAGGGAGAUGGGUUUUGGAGCCCUAGCAGUCUGCCCACCCUAUGGACAUGGCCAGAUACCCCCAGUUCCUUCCCAAGCACUGCUACCCAGAGAGGUGCUCUGUCCUGGCUAUGGGAGUUGAGCACGAAUAACUCACAAAUAAUGGAAAUCCCCACCAUGUGCCCCCAGCAUUGGCACGGCUCAGAGCCCUGCAAGAAGCGCGCUGCCUUGUUUGUCACCUGAAGCACUUGGAAAAAUUACACAAAUCCAUCAAUGUAAUGAAUCUUCUCAGCAGUGGCGAAUAGACAGAGACAGACAGGCACUCAGCUGAAACAAGUCAUCUUUAAAAAUUAAUACAAAAUAAACAGCUGGCCUUUCGCUCCGCUUCCAGGUGGUGGCUGCGUGGUUUGGGCGAGGGCUGGGCAGGGAUCAAUGAUGGUUCCCAAUGGGAUCACGUCCCUGGGGCAGGGAAGUGUCCUCUGCCGUGUCCCUGUCACUGUCACAGUGUCACCUCCAUCUGCUGCUGCUCCAGGAAUGGUGGUGCAGCGCGGCAGUCAGUGUUGCACUGCGUGAGUGACUGCUUAAGAAACAGCCAAAUCUUUGGGAAUGCCAAAGCCUCAUCACCUCCCUACAGCCUUGCCAGGCUUCUGCCAGCCCUCUGGGCUCUCACAUCAGUUUGUCAGUGUCUGAUGGAGCUUGUACACUCCUCAGAGGACAGGCUGAGCUUGCUCUCCUGCUUGUCACGAUGUGGGCUCCAUAAAUAAUUAACAGCGGUGCUGCUUCUGCCCUCGAGCUUUCAUUUCAUUACCCAGGAAUAACAUACCCACCUAUAUACGUGUGUAUGUACAUGUCUGCGUGUAAUACGCAUCCAUAUGUACUUACAUUGCUUAAACAUCUGUUUCACCGGCCAGCCUCUCUGCUUUUCCUUCGGCCAUGGCUCUGUCUCCCUGCUGGUCCCAAGGGCAGGCAAGCAGCAGAAGGCGCUGCUCUCGACCGUGAGCAUCCCACCAGUGCUCCAGCUGCUCCUGCUCUGAGGCCAGGCUAUUUACGAGGUACCCAUGGGGCUGCCCUUGCCCUGCAGAGUGUGGGGAUGGAGAGCGGGGAGGAAGACGGAUGGAUCCUGAAUUGAGGUGAAUUUAUGGGGCUUUGCGAUUCCUGCUGCUGUAUGUCUCCGAGAAAUGACACCGCCACUUCAGGAGCAGAGAUUAAUCUGAGCCGGCAGGAGAAGGACAAAACAAAUCAUCUACUGCAGGAAUCUCAUUUGAUGCCUGUUAGUAAAAGCACUGCGAUGAAUGGCUUUUGUAAAGACCGCGUAGUACAGGCUUUUUUUUUUUCCUCCCUUUUCUCCAUUCGUCUGCAAAUUGAGGUCUGUGAGGUGUGUGGUGGAGGCACCCCAGGGUCACUCAUGGCCAGGCACAGGACAAGGACUCCCAGCAGCUUUGUGCACUGUGAGACAGGAGAGCAAAAAAGGGAAGGCAGAGCUCCCAGCGCGUCGUACCCAAGGAAGGAAUCCUUCGCUUUUGUUUUUAAAAGGGCAUUGAUUCUCACGUCCUGCAGAACACGGGGUCGGGGCAGCCUGCAGCCCCAGACAGAACAUCCCAGUGCUGCUCUGCAUCCCAGCCAGCAGCAGCUGGAUGCGGCCCAGUGGGAGCAGUACCAGCACCGAGCACUCCUCCCGCACGCCGCUGUGCAUCCCAGCUCAAUACAGAAUCAAUUGGAUUGAUCUUUUUUUAAGGUGCAGCCUCCGAACGGCUGAGACUGUGAGAGACGUGGCUAAGCACGCACUUCCACAAAAUAAUUUGUCAGGCCCCGCUGUAGAAACCUAAUGAUGGCUGUAAUUUAUUGCUGACAGACGAUAUUUAUCACCGCAGCAUCCCCUCUUUCUCUUCCUCUGUCUCGUUAGGAAUGGCAUCAAUAAUGUUUAUUGUAGCUUUUAAUUUUUUAUCGCUGGUAUUCUUACCUGUGCUGCUGAGGGCUGCAGGAGAUGGGAAAGGCGUCAGAGCAGAUGGAGGCUCAGCUCUGUGCUGAAGGGUGAGCGAUGAAGGCUGGAAGUUCCUCCUGCGUGCCCAUGCAGGGAGCGUGCAGUGCCAGAGAGCACCCCGAUAGCAGGGAAAAGUGAGCUGUUCCCAUAAAGCUUACUCCCUCUCUUCUGAGCCUUUGGACCUGUGCAAGGGAUGCUCAGACCCAGCAAAGCAGUGGCAUUGCUUUGGUUUUCCCCAGACGCUGCUCCCACGUGGGGCUGGAGAAGGAACAUCACCCCUCCGCUGCUGCACCUGCAUUGCUGCGAUCAUCUCACACCUGAUGAUGCCCACAAGCCCUGUGGUCACAGUUCUUGUCCCUGAAAGCAACCAAAACCCCAACUCCAAUCCUGAAAUCUCCUUUUUUUCCCCUCGUUUUCCUACAGUUUUUCCUACCCUUGAGGAAAUGUGCUGCACCAGGUUGUGAUGCCCUAUAAACCAGCACUUCCCAGAGGGGAUUUCUUCCCCCUUUCCAGACGUGAAUAAUUACCCAGGCAGAGGCUGUUCCAGCCUCGUUACAGGAGCCUCUCAGACUAGCCGGUCAUUUACAGAUUAGAUAGAUGUUGCCCACGUUGUUCAUAACUGAUUAUGGGAUUGGCAGUUUGGCUCUCACCCAAAAUUCAGAGUCCUGAUUUAGCAUAAUUGGAAGUGAAUGGCGGAGCAGGCUGGGGGAUGGGGAUGGUGCCUGCUGCUGAUUUCCUAAUGCCGGCUUUGGGGAUCCCUGACAAGCUGCGGAGUGCUCUUUAUAGGGCAAUAACGUUUACGGUGUGGGUUGUCUGGGGGAGGAACUCCUGUGAUGGCAGCAGCCACCUCCUGCACGUCCCAGAUCGAAGCUGGAGAAAUCAAGAAUACCAGAAAAGCAACG